GACGAACGCUGGCGGCGUGCCUAAUACAUGCAAGUUGAGCGCUGAAGGUUGGUACUUGUACCGACUGGAUGAGCAGCGAACGGGUGAGUAACGCGUGGGGAAUCUGCCUUUGAGCGGGGGACAACAUUUGGAAACGAAUGCUAAUACCGCAUAAAAACUUUAAACACAAGUUUUAAGUUUGAAAGAUGCAAUUGCAUCACUCAAAGAUGAUCCCGCGUUGUAUUAGCUAGUUGGUGAGGUAAAGGCUCACCAAGGCGAUGAUACAUAGCCGACCUGAGAGGGUGAUCGGCCACAUUGGGACUGAGACACGUCCCAAACUCCUACGGGAGGCAGCAGUAGGGAAUCUUCGGCAAUGGACGAAAGUCUGACCGAGCAACGCCGCGUGAGUGAAGAAGGUUUUCGGAUCGUAAAACUCUGUUGGUAGAGAAGAACGUUGGUGAGAGUGGAAAGCUCAUCAAGUGACGGUAACUACCCAGAAAGGGACGGCUAACUACGUG
rnacentral:rRNA from 1 species